AGAAGAUGACGAGUGGCGGACGGGUGAGUAAUGCUUGGGAACUUGCCUUUGCGAGGGGGAUAACAGUUGGAAACGACUGCUAAUACCGCAUAAUGUCUUCGGACCAAACGGGGCUUCGGCUCCGGCGCAAAGAGAGGCCCAAGUGAGAUUAGCUAGUUGGUAAGGUAACGGCUUACCAAGGCGACGAUCUCUAGCUGUUCUGAGAGGAAGAUCAGCCACACUGGGACUGAGACACGGCCCAGACUCCUACGGGAGGCAGCAGUGGGGAAUAUUGCACAAUGGGGGAAACCCUGAUGCAGCCAUGCCGCGUGUGUGAAGAAGGCCUUCGGGUUGUAAAGCACUUUCAGUUGUGAGGAAAAGUUAGUAGUUAAUACCUGCUAGCCGUGACGUUAACAACAGAAGAAGCACCGGCUAACUCCGUGCCAGCAGCCGCGGUAAUACGGAGGGUGCGAGCGUUAAUCGGAAUUACUGGGCGUAAAGCGCACGCAGGCGGUUUGUUAAGCUAGAUGUGAAAGCCCCGGGCUCAACCUGGGAUGGUCAUUUAGAACUGGCAGACUAGAGUCUUGGAGAGGGGAGUGGAAUUCCAGGUGUAGCGGUGAAAUGCGUAGAUAUCUGGAGGAACAUCAGUGGCGAAGGCGA
rnacentral:rRNA from 1 species